CUAUUAGCAAGUAAAGGGCUUGAGCCAGAAUGCAAAUCAAUGACUUUAUCAAGAGAGUCUUACUGAAAAAACAAAAACAAACAAAAAAUAUCAACUAAAAAACCAUCAGCAUGUGUUUAGAUUCAUAGCUGAUACUCAUUCUCACACAAUCUCCUCAUCUUUUUUCAGACAGUAACAGACUAUUCCUGGGCCGGCACUGGCACGUGGACCACUUGAAUAGCAUUACUGAAGCUUAAAAAUGAGGUAUCUCUACAUGUGUGGAUGUAAAAAGCAAACAGUUUACUCCAUUUCAAAUCUUACCAUGGACUUCUGUCUUCUUCUGAUUGACAUGAACAUUUACCGGCUUCCAGCAAAUUGAACUUUGUCCUGG
rnacentral:lncRNA from 1 species